rnacentral:rRNA from 1 species
UACGUAGGGGGCAAGCGUUGUCCGGAUUUAUUGGGCGUAAAGAGCGUGUAGGCGGCCAGGUAGGUCCGCUGUGAAAACUUGAGGCUCAACCUCGAGAUGUCGGCGGAAACCCCCUGGCUAGAGUCCGGAAGAGGAGAGUGGAAUUCCCGGUGUAGCGGUGAAAUGCGCAGAUAUCGGGGAAGAACACCCGUGGCGAAGGCGGCUCUCUGGGACGGUACUGACGCUGAGA